rnacentral:lncRNA from 1 species
AGUUCACAGGGUUCAGGCAGAGUUUGAGAUUUUCCUGAGCUGAGAGAGGGAGAGGCAGUAAAGGUCAGGGAGUUAGAUGCCUGUGAAUAAAUCUGGCUGGGCCUCCAACAGUAGUCUGAUUUGGGAAUAUGGGCCUUCACUUUGGAAUUAUAACAGAAGAUAUUGAAAUGCUACCAUAAACUGUUUCUCCUCUGUGAUGCCAUUCUGCCACAGCACCUUGCCUUAGAGCCAGCUGAUGAUGGACUAAAACCUCUACAACUGUGAGCCAAAAUAAACCUUUCCUCCUUUAACUUUGAGUAUUGGAUAUUUUGUUUCAAGAAGAAGAAAUUAACCAAGAUGGACUGUUUAGAAUCUUUUAAUUUCAGCGAUAAGAAAAUGACGGAGACAAUGCCCAGAAGAUUUCAUUUGAAACCCGAAGAUAGAGAAGCUAGGCCUUGGACAUAGAAGAUUCUCCAGAAAGUGGCUGUAACCACCUAAGUUCACCACAGAGCUGUGGCCCUCACCUCCUAUCUCAUCCCCUUCGGAGGAGUCUGGCUCCUCUGGGGUGUUCCUGGUCCCCCGCUGUGGAAGAUAUUGACCCUGUUCUAGAAAUACUAUUUCCUCCUAUUUUAAAAAAGAGUUAUAAAUUAUAAAGGUAAUAUAUGCUCUGGGCUAAUUAAAACAGU